GGAUCAAUUUGUCGGUCGUGCCUCGGUACGUACUGGCAUUAUUGGUUUCUCCCUUCUGACGAACCGCGAUGUCAUUAAUUUGGUGUCGUGGGAAAUCAGGACUGUUACUUUGAAAAAAUUAGAGUGUCUAAAGCAGGCUCACGCUUGAAUACACUAGCAUGGAAUAAUGAAAUAGGACGUUUGGUUCUAUUUUGUUGGUUUUUAGGAUCGACGUA
rnacentral:rRNA from 1 species